AAACUAAUUUAAAAUAAAAGAAAAUAAAAUAAAAAUUAAAGUUUAUUAAAUCCUAAACUACUUUAAAAGAAGAGAAAAAAAAAAUGCCUAACAAAAAUAAAUGGAAUCAGCGUGGACAAUUCAAUUUAAGGAAAACACAUCACCACUUGAAAUUAGAAAACAUAUUUAAAUGCAUAUUGUGGUAUCUACCAAACACAUCCAUCACGGGAAUCAACAUGAUAAAAGCAUAUGGGCAGUGAAAGAAAAUAAAUGACUAAGGUGCUCCCUAAAUGCAUUAUAAUAAAAAUGAGUAACCUGCUUCAUUUUCAAUGCUAAAAGAAAGAUGUGUAAUGCUUAAAAUUAAAUUAGUAUGUGCUUUGCUUCAAAUUUAAAUUACCGCAUAUCUAAUCUAAAAUCUGAAACCCAAAAUCAAUGACCGGAUCAAUACUCUAUAAUUCUCCAAUGCAGACCGUAACUAGGCUCCACUAAAUGAUGUUGAAUCUCAAAAUUGAACCAGCGUGCACGUGAACGUGCUACUAUCUUCAACUCCUAAUGCAUCAGCAUGUGUGCCCUUCAUAAUCAAUCACNNUUUCUUCCUAACUAGCUGGACANCGCACCAUUUCUAAUCACCAUUUCAUCAAUUUCAUAAAGGCAAAAUGAAGAGGCUAGAUGUAGCGUUUUUCUCCCAGCGAGCUUCCCAUUCCAGCACCGUCUCGAUGGUUCAAAGCAAAAGAAAAAUGUAGAAGAUUCAAAGAUUCAAAAAGGAAGAGGCGGCUGGAAGCAUUCUCAAAACAGAGAUAAUAAAGAAGACGUUCCAUGUGAAAGUCAUGCUAAAACCGAGUGGUGGUUGGCUACACUUUUUCGUUCAUCCAAAAUCCAAAUACAUAGACAUGGUUCAAGGAAAAGAAUGCAAUGAGAAUGAAAUUUUUCUCCAGCCGAGAGAGUCCAGAGAGUGUGACGGCUGCCUCUCUUUUCCUAGGAUCAUGUGUCCUCAAAUUGGGGUAGGGUCC
rnacentral:lncRNA from 1 species